GAUGAACGCUGGCGGCGUGCCUAAUACAUGCAAGUCGAGCGAACAGAUGAGGAUCUUGCUCCUCUGACGUUAGCGGCGGACGGGUGAGUAACACGUGGAUAACCUACCUAUAAGACUUGGAUAACUUCGGGAAACCGGAGCUAAUACCGGAUAAUAUAUUUAACCGCAUGGUUCAAUAGUGUAAGACGGUUUUGCUGUCACUUAUCGAUUGAUCCGCGCCGCAUUAGCUAGUUGGUAAGGUAACGGCUUACCAAGGCAACGAUGCGUAGCCGACCUGAGAGGGUGAACGGCCACACUGGAACUGAGACACGGUCCAGACUCCUACGGGAGGCAGCAGUAGGGAAGCUUCCGAAAUGGGCGAAAGACUGAAGGAGCAACGCCGCGUGAGUGAUGAAGGUCUGCGGAUCGUAAAACUCUGUUAUUAGGGAAGAACAAAUGUGUAAGUAACUAUGCACGUCUUGACGGUACCUAAUCAGAAAGCCACGGCUAACUACGUG
rnacentral:rRNA from 1 species